AGAGAGUGAUAGCCUCGUAAGCGAAACUUCGUUUCCUCAGUUCAGGAUCCUGAGUACGGCGGAACACGUGAAACUCCGUCGGAAUCCGGGAGGACCAUCUCCCAAGGCUAAAUACUACCUAGUGACCGAUAGUGAACCAGUACCGUGAGGGAAAGGUGAAAAGCACCCCGGGAGGGGAGUGAAAUAGUUCCUGAAACCAUAUGCCUACAAGUAGUCAGAGCUCGUUAAUGAGUGAUGGCGUGCCUUUUGUAGAAUGAACCGGCGAGUUACGUUAGCGUGCGAGGUUAAGGAGGAAAGUCCGGAGCCGUAGCGAAAGCGAGUCUGAAUAGGGCGAGAUAGUACGUUGACGUAGACCCGAAACCAGGUGACCUACCCAUGUCCAGGUUGAAGGUGCGGUAAAACGCACUGGAGGACCGAACCCGUGUAUGUUGAAAAAUGCUGGGAUGAGGUGUGGGUAGAGGUGAAAUUCCAAACGAACUUGGAGAUAGCUGGUUCUCUCCGAAAUAGCUUUAGGGCUAGCCUCGGAGUUAAGAAUCGUGGAGGUAGAGCACUGUUUGGACUAGGGGCCCGUCUUGGGUUACUGAAUUCAGAUAAACUCCGAAUGCCACAGAUUUAUAUCCGGGAGUCAGACUGCGAGUGAUAAGAUCCGUAGUCGAAAGGGAAACAGCCCAGACCACCGAUUAAGGUCCCAAAAUAUGUGUUAAGUGGAAAAGGAUGUGGAAUUGCAUAGACAACUAGGAUGUUGGCUUAGAAGCAGCCACCAUUUAAAGAGUGCGUAAUAGCUCACUAGUCGAGUGAUCCUGCGCCGAAAAUGUAACGGGGCUAAACACAUUACCGAAAUCGUGGAUGUACCUUAGGGUACAUGGUAGGAGAGCGUUCUAAGGACGGCGAAGCUAGACCGUAAGGACUGGUGGAGUGCUUAGAAGUGAGAAUGCCGGUAUGAGUAGCGAAAGAUCAGUGAGAAUCUGGUCCACCGUAUGACUAAGGUUUCCUGGGGAAGGCUCGUCCUCCCAGGGUUAGUCGGGACCUAAGCCGAGGCCGAGAGGCGUAGGCGAUGGAUAACAGGUUGAGAUUCCUGUACUGGUUAAACUUGUUUGAACAAUGGAGGGACGCAGGAGGCUAUCGAUGCGUACUGUUGGAUAUGUACGUUCAAGCAAUAAGUCUGUAGAUGAGUCAAAUGCUUAUCUACUUAAGGACAAGUUGUGAUGAGGAGCGAAAUUUAGUAGCGAAGUGAGAGACGUCACACUGCCAAGAAAAGCUUCUAGUUAGAG
rnacentral:rRNA from 2 species